AUAUCAUGCUGAAUCACUAGUUUCCAUAUGAUCACUGAAGUUAAGCAACGUUGAGCCUGGUCAGUACCUAGAUGGGUUCCUGUUUGGGAAUGCCAGGUGCUGUAAG